AACGCGAAGAACCUUACCUACCCUUGACAUGCCAGGAAUCCUGCAGAGAUGUGGGAGUGCUCGAAAGAGAACCUGGACACAGGUGCUGCAUGGCCGUCGUCAGCUCGUGUCGUGAGAUGUUGGGUUAAGUCCCGCAACGAGCGCAACCCUUGUCAUUAGUUGCUACGAAAGGGCACUCUAAUGAGACUGCCGGUGACAAACCGGAGGAAGGUGGGGAUGACGUCAGGUCAUCAUGGCCCUUAUGGGUAGGGCUACACACGUCAUACAAUGGCCGGGACAGAGGGCUGCCAACCCGCGAGGGGGAGCUAAUCCCAGAAACCCGGUCGUAGUCCGGAUCGUAGUCUGCAACUCGACUGCGUGAAGUCGGAAUCGCUAGUAAUCGCGGAUCAGCUUGCCGCGGUGAAUACGUUCCCGGGUCUUGUACACACCG
rnacentral:rRNA from 1 species